UAGUUAUGCUACAUGUACAAUAGAAUAUGUGUAAUGUUUGAUUACAAAUGAAAUGCAAUUUUGCAUCGCAGUUCUUUGGAUGUGUCAUUGCUGGGAACAGCGAUCCUGCAAAGUGGCACCAGUCGCCUAUCAGCUAGGCUCUGUCCGAGUAGGCAACUUUAAGUGAAGCCACUUCAAUGUGUCCCAGCUCAACAAUUAGGCACCGUUACUUGAAGCUUCUGCUGGCUAAAAGAAAGUGAGCAAGCUCCGUGCGCAUAUGCCCACUAAUGCAGCCUGGAGCAGAGAUGGUCAUUUCUGGGCACAC